rnacentral:tRNA from 1 species
GUAGAGUUAAUUAGUUUAAUUUGAAAUUAAAGUUUAGUGAUUAAUAAGUAUGCACACUCUACU